rnacentral:misc_RNA from 1 species
CUGUCUCUUCCCUUCUCCCACGUUCUCUGCUUUUCGUCGCCACACCACUGUCUUCAUCCUUCGCUCUCUUCCUUCACGCACGCACGUACGCAUCAACACAAACGAACGAGUGGGAUCGACGCCAGAUUCCGUACACUCCACCAACCCCCCUCCCCUCUCCCCCUGCUUGCGAGCCAGCAAACCCCGCGCAUGUCCUCGUCUGCCACCUCGACGCAGGCGUUCAGCCUCAAGACGCGCCAGCCCAUCCCUGACGAGGACGCCCUUCUCACGGAGGAGGACCGCAUCUUGAAACAGGCGACCAAGGGUGAGGACUGCACGACGCGCCGUCGCGCCUGCAAGAACUGCGUCUGCGGCCGCGCUGAGCUGGAGCGCAAGCUUGAGGCGGAGGGCAAGCUAGAGGCGGAGGCUUUGGCGAUGCCGCCUGGUGGAUGCGGUAACUGCUCCAAGGGCGACGCCUUCCGCUGCGCCAACUGCCCCUUCCUCGGCCAGCCAGCCUUUGAUGCCACAGAGGACGGCAAGGUGAAGCUCAACCUCACGGAUGAUGUGUGAGAACGCGUGCGCGUCUCUGCCGUUGUGGCCGACGUUUUCGUUUUCCUUUGCCAAUUUCCCUCCUCCUCAGCAGCGCGCAUCGGCCGCCGUCCCUUUCUCACGGAAGGCUCUCUACGGUGGUGCACACGCACGUGUGAUGAACUAAAGUCCCUCUCCCCUCCCUUGUUUCGCUCUCCUUGCGUGCGCGCAUCUCUCUGGUGUGCGUGCCUACAUGUGUCUGGUGAGGGCAACGUCUCUCUCCUGAUUCUUUCAUCUGUCGUCUCUCUCUCGUUCCUCUUUCUUGUCGCUUGCUGCCAUUCUUCGUGCUCGUCCCCGCCCCCGCCCUACACGGCGGUUUAUGGCACACGCGUGCACAAAACUUGCGGCCCCCGUGCACCCCCUUCUCUCUCUCGUGCACGCUCACGGUCAUCAUACGCCUUCUCCUUCGCGCGUGGGGAGCAG